CCUACGGGUCGCAGCAGUGGGGAAUAUUGCACAAUGGGCGCAAGCCUGAUGCAGCCAUGCCGCGUGUAUGAAGAAGGCCUUCGGGUUGUAAAGUACUUUCAGCGGGGAGGAAGGCGAUAAGGUUAAUAACCUUGUCGAUUGACGUUACCCGCAGAAGAAGCUCAGGCUAACUCCGUGCCAGCAGCCGCGGCAAUACGGAGGGUGCAAGCGUUAAUCGGAAUUACUGGGCGUAAAGCGCACGCGGGCGGUCUGUCAAGUCGGAUGUGAAAUCCCCGGGCUCAACCUGGGAACUGCAUUCGAAACUGGCAGGCUAGAGUCUUGUAGAGGGGGGUAGAAUUCCAGGUGUAGCGGUGAAAUGCGUAGAGAUCUGGAGGAAUACCGGUGGCGAAGGCGGCCCCCUGGGCAAAGACUGACGCUCAGGUGCGAAAGCGUGGGGAGCAAACAGGAUUAGAUACCCCUGUAGUC
rnacentral:rRNA from 1 species